AAAGGAUUAGUUAAUCGUAUAACAUCAGAAUGUCAAACUGAAAUAAUCAGAAAGAUAUCCUUUU
rnacentral:tRNA from 1 species